rnacentral:rRNA from 2 species
AACGAACGCUGGCGGCAGGCUUAACACAUGCAAGUCGAGCGCCCCGCAAGGGGAGCGGCAGACGGGUGAGCAACGCGUGGGAAUCUACCUUUUGCUACGGAAUAACGCAGGGAAACUUGUGCUAAUACCGUAUGUGUCCUUCGGGAGAAAGAUUUAUCGGCAAGAGAUGAGCCCGCGUUGGAUUAGCUAGUUGGUGGGGUAAAGGCCUACCAAGGCGACGAUCCAUAGCUGGUCUGAGAGGAUGAUCAGCCACAUUGGGACUGAGACACGGCCCAAACUCCUACGGGAGGCAGCAGUGGGGAAUAUUGGACAAUGGGCGCAAGCCUGAUCCAGCCAUGCCGCGUGAGUGAUGAAGGCCCUAGGGUUGUAAAGCUCUUUCACCGGAGAAGAUAAUGACGGUAUCCGGAGAAGAAGCCCCGGCUAACUUCGUGCCAGCCGCCGCGGUAA